UUAGAAAACGAGUCGAUUUGGAGCAGCAGAGCAGAUUGACAUCUGGUACCAAUGAACUAAAUUUGUUUUCAUUUUCUGUUGGCCGGAUUCCAGUGAGUCCUCAAGUCAUCUUGAGAGUCUAGAAUGUAAAAAAAGGAACUGUAAAAAAAAGAAAAUUGCUGUCCAGCUUCUGUUCCAUCUUUCUGUGCAUCUGCUGCUGGACAUCAUUGAGAAUGAUUUGGAGCAAUCCUGUCCAGCCCUACAUUGACUUGACAUCCAACAGCUC
rnacentral:lncRNA from 1 species